ensembl:lncRNA
CAGAGGUCUGUGCAGUAGCAGAAGCACGCGCCUCACUUCCGGCAGUGUUCUUUCCUGGCCUGGCAGUCAAAACAGUAGGGCGCUUCAGCAUUUUUGUUCUAUGUCCGGGAGCCACAGAAUCCUCCAGGUUUCACCUCCACUCUGAAAUCAAGAAAGAUGAGGAACGUAGCCAAGCAGGCCCAGCAGCAACGCUGGCACAUGUGCCACGGAUGCUUCCUCCCCGAGCCAACCUUGAAUCUGCCGGCAAGGCUAGAGACCGCUGACGCAGAUGCAGGAUCAGGCGAAGGAGCAAGUCAAUGAGAAAAAGACAGCACCUCAUCUGGCUUCUUGAGUGUCAAUGAGAAGCUGGGCGAGCGGUAUAAAGGUUUGCCCAGUUCCCGCAGUAAAAAAAAAUCUGCUUUUUCGGUCCCCAGCUCCGAAAAAAAGAAAAGAAAAGAAAAAAAAUCUGCUUUUGCCACUUGCCUGACUCCCGGAAUCUGUGUUGUUGACUCUGCGCCUUCUGACCCCUGACCCCAAGGGUCUUGGUCGGUGUGGAAAGCAACACUGAUAGACGGGUUUUCUAAUCACGUGAGUAAUGAGGUUUUGAAUCAUCUCCUGACGUGAGAAUGGAUGGGUUUCUGCUCUUGGGACUCUUCCUCCUGCUGGUUGCUGUAUCCAACUUCAAAACGAAAGUUUUUGCUUUAUCUUGUAUUUUAUUUUCUUAUGCACAGUUGUUAUCCCUUAGAAGCCUGCUAUUUUCUAAUGAGAGACAGAAAGGGAAAGGACCUGGAGGAGAGGGGAUGUCGAGAGGAGCUUAGAGGAG